AAAGCGUGCGCAGGCGGUUAUGCAAGACAGAGGUGAAAUCCCCGGGCUCAACCUGGGAACUGCCUUUGUGACUGCAUAGCUAGAGUACGGUAGAGGGGGAUGGAAUUCCGCGUGUAGCAGUGAAAUGCGUAGAUAUGCGGAGGAACACCGAUGGCGAAGGCAAUCCCCUGGACCUGUACUGACGCUCAUGCACGAAAGCGUGGGGAGCAAACAGGAUUAGAUACCCGUGU
rnacentral:rRNA from 1 species